AUUGAGUUUGAGAGUUGGGUUGUUGGUCAGGUGAGUGAGUGGAUCCUCCCCGUGGUGUUUGGGUUGUGAGUCGGGUGAGUGAGCGGAUCCUCACCAGUGUGUUUGGGUAACCUGAUGAGUUACAUUGUUAGUGAGCAUAGUAGUAUAGUAGCUGCUUUUAUUACCUGUUCAUGCAUUCAUAGCAUUGGAUCGAGGCAUAGUUUUAUAUAUAGCAUUUCCACCUGCCUUACUAUCACCUAAUUAUAUUGUUCUAUUAUGCCCCGAGAGUGAAAAUUUGGAACGAAUCGAUAUCAGCCUUCACAAGAACCAAAACCGGAAUAAUACUAGACUACUCAGUUGCGCCCUAACCGUAUAAAUUAGCAACGAGUACUUUUUCUUAUUCAAUCGAACAGAGAGUAAAACCUAAUUAUAUUGUUCUAUUAUAC
rnacentral:lncRNA from 1 species